rnacentral:rRNA from 1 species
UACGGGGGGUGCGAGCGUUGUCCGGAAUCACUGGGCGUAAAGGGCGCGUAGGUGGUUUGAUAAGGGUGUGGUGAAAGUCCGGAGCUCAACUCCGGAUCUGCCGUGCCGACUGUCAAACUCGAGGGCUGUAGAGGCAGACGGAAUUCCUGGUGUAGCGGUGAAAUGCGUAGAUAUCAGGAGGAACACCGGCGGUGUAGACGGCUUGCUAGACCAUAACUGACGCUGAGGCACGAAAGCGUGGGUAGCAAACAGG